CGCGAUGAGAGGUACAGGUGAGCGAAUAACCAAGCGUGUGCGCUCAGUGACUGAUAAACUCAGACACGACGACGGACGUACGAUCAUGCGCGAAUGGAUAUUUCAUCGACACGGGUUAGCUGAAUUGUGCAUGUGUGGCGCGUGUGGUGCGUCGAACGUGUGGUGCACAUCCAAUUGGUUUGUAUGACGAUUAUCAAGGGUGCGACGCACGUUCGUCGCCUGCGCACGCGUGGCCGGUUCAAUUCACGUGCUGCGUAUGUAUGAAUGCACGACUGCGAGGAGUGCGGGGACACCGUUGCACUUUGGCGCGGGUGUUCCGGAGGAGCACCAUCAUGUUUACAGGUGAGAGCGUGCGGCGCGGCGCGGCACAGUAAAUGGAAUAGGAGGCAAGACGGAAACACUCGCCGCCGCGCCGCGGAGACGGAGGACGGGCAGCACCACACAGCUUGCUCAUAGAUUCCGCAUCCUCCUCGCUGUACGAUGCGAAUCAAUGGCGUAGGCAGCUGCUGCAGCCAGCUGUUACGAUAUUGUCGAUAAUGGGGGAUCUUGUAAAGUCGACUGUUCUGAACCAGUUGAACAUUGUAUCCUUGGCCAAGCGUACAUUCUCGUAAUAAGCUUGAUCAAGCUCUGUAAUACAGAUAGGUGUCAACAAACGAUGCGAAAUAAACAACAAUCUCGACAUCUGCGCGAUGUACCCAACUGUCUCCAAGAAUCGGUAUCUGGGCCAAGGACGGCUUAUUGCACUCAACACAGUUGCAUAGUACGCGCGCAGGGUACAAUUAAUGGUGCAAUUUAGCCCGGGUCAAGAGUCGCUCUCGCCGUUCACCAGAACGAUAUGGCCGAGGAGGAAGAGACGAGCUCGUUGGAGGAUAAGGAAAGCUGAUAGUACGCUAGUUUGGAAGAAAAACGUGCAAAGAGAAUGUGCGAGUAGAGCAAAAGAAUUUCGUUAAAAUAAAAACGAGAUAGGUAUUACGUAA